rnacentral:tRNA from 1 species
ACUUCUAUGGGAGAGUAGCAAUCCAUUGGUUUUAGGAACCAAUUAUCUUGGUGCAACUCCAAGUAAAAGUA